GAUGAACGCUGGCGGCGUGCCUAAUACAUGCAAGUCGAGCGAAUGGAUUAAGAGCUUGCUCUUAUGAAGUUAGCGGCGGACGGGUGAGUAACACGUGGGUAACCUGCCCAUAAGACUGGGAUAACUCCGGGAAACCGGGGCUAAUACCGGAUAACAUUUUGAACCGCAUGGUUCGAAAUUGAAAGGCGGCUUCGGCUGUCACUUAUGGAUGGACACGCGUCGCAUUAGCUAGUUGGUGAGGUAACGGCUCACCAAGGCAACGAUGCGUAGCCGGGCUGGGCGGGUGAUCGGCCACACUGGGACUGGGGCACGGCCCAGACUCCUACGGGAGGCAGCAGUAGGGAAUCUUCCGCAAUUGACGAAAGUCUGACGGAGCAACGCCGCGUGAGUGAUGAAGGCUGUCGGGUCGUAAAACUCUGUUGUUAGGGAAGAACAAGUGCUAGUUGAAUAAGCUGGCACCUUGACGGUACCUAACCAGAAAGCCACGGCUAACUACGUGCCAGCCGCCGCGGUAA
rnacentral:rRNA from 1 species